rnacentral:lncRNA from 10 species
CCCGCCUUUAGGGACCUUUUCAUCCCAGGAACCCCAGCAACACCUAGGCUCCAGUACUGGGACAAGAAUCUGAGCUAUUUAAAAAUGUGCUUCUGUAGGAAAUGAUGUCAGAAUGCUUGUUUCAUAGGUCUGUUCUUUAACAGACAGCUAUUCAGCCCCAGCUGUGCAGAUCCCACUUCCUGGGAGUGGAGCAGAGGCUCUGCGUGGAGCAUCCAUGUGCAGUACUCUUAGUCAGAAGAUUCCUGGAAGGCGACCAGAAAUUAGCUGGCCGCUGUCAGACCUGAAGUUACUUCUAAAGGGCCUUUAGAAAUGAAUUCUUUUUUAUGCCUUCUCUGAAUUCUGAGAAGUAGGCUUGACUUCCCCUAAGUGUGGAGUUGGGAGUCAACUCUUCUGAAAAGAAAGUUUCAGAGCAUUUUCCAAAGCCAUGGUCAGCUGUGGGAAGGGAAGACGAUGGAUAGUACAGUUGCCGGAAAACACUGAUGGAGGCGGAUGCUCCAGCUCAGCCAAAGACCUUUGUUCUGCCCACCCCAGAAAUGCCCCUUCCUCAAUCGCAGAAACGUUGCCCCAUGGCUCCUGAUACUCAGAAUGCAGCCUCUGACCAGGACCAUCUGCAUCCUCCAGGAGCUCGUUGACUAUCUGGUAUAGUCUGCAGGAUUUAGAGUGUCUUCCCCUGACCACACGGUGUUUCUCUCUGAAAGCGGCACUUGGUACCAGCACAAACUCUGUCUUCAGAAGUCCCACCAGGUGUUUUGGGGCACCAACUAUCAGGCCUCCCGGAUGGUAUCAAGGAGCUCAAACUCACCAGGUCACCACAUCUGGACAAUGAGAGGCCAAACCCCUCACCCGCCAUGACUGCCUAACCACCCACCUGCUGCCUGUUGACUGACUCCUCUUCCUUAUCCCUCCCUAGUUCCUGUUUUCCUGCAUGUAAGUUACAUUUCUUCCCUGCUAUAUAAACCCCUAAUUUUAGUCCGUCAGGGAGAUGGAUUUGAGACUGCUCUCCCAUCUCCUCAGCUGCAGCACCGAUUAAAGCCUUCUUCCCUGGCCAUACUUGUCUCAGUGAUGGGCUUUGUGGGCAGAAAGCAGCAGGACCUAGAUCAAACCCCUAGCAUUUUGGUAACACCACUCUUUGGUUGAAAGUCCUGACUUAUUUAGGCUGUUUUUCAAACUCUUUAUUUUAAGAGUAAGGGCUUUGCUCUCUGUCUUUGGAUAGGAGAUUCAGGUAAAGAGCUCCGUAGAGAAAGUUUUUCCACCUCUGUCUCAGGACAAGGGAUUUGGGUCAAACUUUUUCUGUCCCUGUCUCACAGCAGAGGUUCAGGUCAACGGAUUUGCCGUUAGGCGUUUGUGAUCUCUUUGUACAUUGUAUGCUUUUAAAAAUUGCAGUUACUUUUCUAUUUUUGAAAUGUGGGCCUGAUUUUUCAUUUGUGGCAAACUCCUAUUAAAUACCAGCAGGUUUUACAUACAUUAUAGAUAUCUAGGAAAGGGGACCUACCUAACCAAGGAUGAUCAUAAACAACAAUGACCAAAAAUGGAAGUCUUUUGAAAUACCUAAAAUAAUUCAUUUGUACACACAAUUGGAAAAAGCCACUUUUAGAAACAAAUUAAAUGGAAGACUUCCAGCGGCACCUAAAAAGCUUCUAAAAUAAAUUCUGAGAAAAUCGCCUCCCUUCAGGAGGUAAACAAAGAGAUACCUGUCACUACCACCUGAGGAAACUCCCCAGGUCUCUGACCCCCUCCCUGAAACUCCUAUUGUGGCAGCUCAGUGUCACCACAAACCCUUCUGGUUCUGGGGGCUGCCCAGUAUUCUUCAACUAUUCUCCACUCGAUUAAAAAGACCACCCAAUGAGCAAGAUGGGUCUCCAAAAAACACCUUUGUUGCCUAGCUGACAAUUGCUUAGGGCAAUAAAACAAAUAACUAUAAAAGACUAAUAGUCUAAAAGAGGGGAAUGGACAAAAAUAAAAUUAGAUCAUUAAAAUGCAGAUCCAACAAAUUUUUUCUGCUUUAGGACUCUAAUGACUGACUGAUGAAAUGCUGACAUCCAGGGAAUUAGCUAAGUAGCAUUCCAGCUGAAAUCAGAUAAAAAACAACUUUAAAUCCUUUAAAUGUUCCAACUACCUGCUUUGGAUCCCCUGCAAGAUUUACCCACAAAAAGGAAGCAUGUCCACCCUGUGGCCUAAUGACUGGGGUUUGGUGCUUUCACUGCUGCAGCCUGGCUCCUUCCUCAUCAGGGAGCCAGUCCCUUUUGGUUUGGUAUUUGUGAUAGCUUCCAACUUCGUGGGAUACUGCUUCGCCACUCAGGAAGGUUCCUUUGGUAAAAAUGAUUCAAAACACAGAACUAUCAUCUGUUUGUCCUGGCUAAAAUCUGAUAAAGAGAUAUGAAUUUUUUUUUUUUAAUUUUGAGAC